UACAGAGGUCCCAAGCGUUGUUCGGAUUCACUGGGCGUAAAGGGUGCGUAGGCGGUCGGGUAAGUCUGAUGUGAAAUCUCACAGCUUAACUGUGAAACUGCAUUGGAUACUAUCCGGCUAGAGGAAUGGAGGGGAGACUGGAAUACUUGGUGUAGCAGUGAAAUGCGUAGAUAUUGGGAAGAACACCGGUGGCGAAGGCGGCAACCUGGUCCUUUACUGACGCUGAGGCGCGAAAGCGUGGGGAGCAAACAGG
rnacentral:rRNA from 1 species